rnacentral:rRNA from 1 species
GAUGAACGCUGGCGGCGUGCCUAAUACAUGCAAGUCGAGCGAACGGACGAGAAGCUUGCUUCUCUGAUGUUAGCGGCGGACGGGUGAGUAACACGUGGAUAGCCUACCUAUAAGACUGGGAUAACUUCGGGAAACCGGAGCUAAUACCGGAUGAUAUUUUGAACCGCAUGGUUCAAAAGUGAAAGACGGUCUUGCUGUCACUUAUAGAUGGAUCCGCGCUGCAUUAGCUAGUUGGUAAGGUAACGGCUUACCAAGGCAACGAUGCAUAGCCGACCUGAGAGGGUGAUCGGCCACACUGGAACUGAGACACGGUCCAGACUCCUACGGGAGGCAGCAGUAGGGAAUCUUCCGCAAUGGGCGAAAGCCUGACGGAGCGACGCCGCGUGAGUGAUGAAGGUCUUCGGAUCGUAAAACUCUGUUAUUAGGGAAGAACAUAUGUGUAAGUAACUGUGCACAUCUUGACGGUACCUAAUCAGAAAGCCACGGCUAACUACGUG